rnacentral:rRNA from 1 species
UACGUAGGGAGCAAGCGUUGUUCGGAUUUACUGGGCGUAAAGGGCGCGUAGGCGGCGCGGUAAGUCACUUGUGAAAUCUCUGAGCUUAACUCAGAACGGCCAAGUGAUACUGCAGUGCUAGAGUGCAGAAGGGCAAUCGGAAUUCUUGGUGUAGCGGUGAAUGCGUAGAUAUCAAGAGGAACACCUGAGGUGAAGACGGGUUGCUGGCUGACACUGACGCUGAGGCGCGAAGCCAGGAGAGCAACGG